rnacentral:rRNA from 1 species
CCUACGGGUGGCAGCAGUGAGGAAUAUUGGUCAAUGGCCGUAAGGCUGAACCAGCCAAGUAGCGUGAGGGAAGACUGCCCUAUGGGUUGUAAACCUCUUUUAUGCGGGGAUAAAGGUGUCCACGUGUGGAUGUUUGCAGGUACCGCAUGAAUAAGGACCGGCUAAUUCCGUGCCAGCAGCCGCGGUAAUACGGACGGUCCGGGCGUUAUCCGGCUUUCGUGGGUUUAAAGGGAGCGUAGGCCGGUCUUUAAGCUUGCCGUGAAAUUUGGGGGCUCAACCCUGGGGGUGCGGCGGGAACUGGAGGACUUGAGUGGGCGGGAGGCAGGCGGAAUUCGUGGUGUAGCGGUGAAAUGCUUAGAUAGCGCGAAGAACCCCGAUUGCGAAGGCAGCCUGCCGCAGCGUUACUGACGCUGAAGCUCGAAAGCGCGGGUAUCGAACAGGAUUAGAUACCCUGGUAGUC